rnacentral:rRNA from 1 species
UACGGAGGAUCCGAGCGUUAUCCGGAUUUAUUGGGUUUAAAGGGUGCGUAGGUGGUUUGAUAAGUCAGCGGUGAAAGUUUGCAGCUUAACUGUAAAAAUGCCGUUGAAACUGUCGGACUUGAGUGUAAAUGAGGUAGGCGGAAUGCGUGGUGUAGCGGUGAAAUGCAUAGAUAUCACGCAGAACUCCGAUUGCGAAGGCAGCUUACUAAGCUACAACUGACACUGAAGCACGAAAGCGUGGGGAUCAAACAGGAUUAGAUACCCG